rnacentral:lncRNA from 1 species
AACACGAACUAUGACCAAUAACCAGGUAGAAAUAUAAUAGUUUGAAGGUGAUCUAUAUAAAUAGAUUUUACGAAAACACUUCAUAAAACGGAAAUUUUAUAUUAAACUUCCUACAUAUAAACCUUAAAAUCUAGGGUAAACACAGCUUAGACGUCUUGGGUAUGUACAUACAAACUGCUAUCUGAACACUACAUUUUACUAAAUAUAUAAAUCUAUAAUACAAGCCAGUUGGAUGGAUUGAACUGCAAAUAUAAAAAGAUAUGGUAUGAUUGCCAAUGACAUAACUCUCCACAAGAGACCCAAAUCACACAGAAAUCACAGCAGGUCACCACAGGGCCUUCAAUAAUGAGCAAAACACAUACAGAAGAGUCAGCUUAUGACCCCAAAUGACAAAUGUUUAACAAUUCCAACGAGAAAAUCAACUGCCUAAUUCAGGUUUACUUAGUUUACCCCAAUAUUUUCACUUGAAAAUGUCUGUUAUCAGUCAGAUCUAGUAAGUAUCUAGUAUUCCAGAAUUACAUGUAUCGUACAAGUAAUUAUCGUCUUUGUCAAUGUUAUAGACAAUAGAAAAGGAACUGUAAAAUUUCUUAAAUACCCCAAGAUUAUAAGUCUUUGAUACUUUUUUGUUUUGGUUGGGUUUUUUUUUUGUGUUGUUUUUUAGGGGUAAAAUUUUGUCGAAUUUUGAAAAAGGGAUAGUUGAAGAAUACUGAAAGAAAUCUACUUGAGCAAUACAAUUAAAAAAACAGAGAUAUCUAAGUAGUAUUUUACAUGAAGUAAUAUUUACAAUCAUUGGCAUUGUUUAGACGCAAAAUGUCUACCCCUGCCAAAGUACCAGAUGUCCAAAAUGGCCCAAACCAUCGUAUGCCAACUUCGCCCGACCCUUUAUUUCUAUUUGAACGUAGCUUGGACCCUUUUGUUUAGUGUAGCAAACGGUUUGGGGUUUAUAAUUCGCCACUAUACGAUUCGAAGGCUGCAAUGUUGAUUUCUGAGUGGACAGUUGAUAAAUGUAAACUGGCAUCGCUUAAUUUAAAGAGCUUACGACAUAAACAAAUACGUCGAACUACAUGCGGGUCUGAUUGGUGGUUGUAUGCCUGACGACAAGUGACAAAUAUUACAUGCAUUUUAGACAAAAUUAAAUUAAAGAUAUUUGAUGCCCCACUCGCACUAUCAUUUUCUAUGUUCAGUGGACCGUGAAAUUGGGAUAAAAACUUCAAUUUGGCAUUAAAAUUAGAAAGAUCAUAUCAUAGCAAACAUGUGUACUAAGUUUCAAGUUGAUUGGACUUCAACUUUAUCAAAACUACCUUGACCAAAACCUUUAACCUGUCCACUCGCACUAUCAUUUUCUAUGUUCAGUGGACUAUGACAUUGGGUUAAAAAGUCUUAUUUAGCAUAAAAAUUAGAAAGAUACCAUAGGCAACAUGUGAACAAAGUUAAGUUGAUUGGAAUUUCAACCUCAUAAAAACAAUCUUGACAAAAAAACUUUAACCAAAAGCGGGAGAGAUGGACGGACGGACAGACAAACGAACGAACGAACAAACAAACGGACCCACAGACCGAAAAACAUAAUGCCCCAAGAUGGGGCAUUAAGAAUGAGAGUAAAUAAGUCAGAAACGUUAAAGCCCCAGUCACACUGUCACGUUUCAAGAGCGACGUUUUACUACGUUUUGAAAGCGUAUUUAGCGAAACGGGAAUAUAUACGUAAUGAAGCCUAACGAAACGUAGUGAUCCCUUGUUCAAAACGGGACAUGACCCGUAUGUUUUGAAAAUUCAACAACAAACGUAACGAAAAUUGAAACGAAGUAGAAACCUAGAAAACACGUAUCAAAGCUUAGCGGAACGUAACACAACGUGCUUACUUACGUAUCGAAACGUAUCAAUGCGCGGUGGAAACGUGGGUCUACACGUACUAAUACGUAGCAAAAAGUGAUAAGAACGUAGCACAAACCUAAUAAAACCUAGCUUUCAAAACAACGGGACAUUUUUAUUCAAAACGUAGUUGAAACGUAGCAUUUUAAAACGUAGUUAAACGUGACAGUGUGACUGGGGCUUAACUGAACUUCAAUUUUUACGUAGAGUAAGAUUCGUCCGGUUCUGACAUGACAAAAUGUAAAAAAUUCAAACCAAAAUACGGCCUGAAUUACGCUAAAAACUGCCAACCCUAAAACAAAUAUCACAGAUAACAAACAAAAACCAUUGAAUUACAGGCAUAUUCAGAAUGCGGAUGGCUUAAAUUCAUUUGAAAGCCCAAACCGUCCCCAGGUGUUGUCUUUUUUUUUAUUAUUAAAGAGGGACUCAUAAUCAGCUCCACAUUGAAACAAAGUGUUUUUCUAUGAAAAACCCUGAUUUGGGAAUAUUUCUAUUCAUGCAACUUUUCCGCGCAUAUCUAAUAAAAAAUUUGAAUGAAACUGUUCGUUAAAAAUUCUAUUAUCAUUAAUUAAACCUAGAAAAAGGUACUAAUAGAAAAAUACCUGAGAUAACCUUGACUACCUUACAAAGGUUUUUAAACAGAUUCGGAUAUAUAACAGUUUAAAAUUUCAACUUAAAUAACUUUGUUGGUGAAGUUUCUCCGAGGUGAUUUAACUAACCACGUUAGAACUUCAUGUCUAUGCCAAAAUAAUCAUUUAACUGUUUAUGAAACAUUGACUUUUCGGAAAUACUCAUGUUGUUCUACCCCAGGAGUUGACUGCCUUAGCUGUAUUUGACAAAACAUUAUUGAAUUUUAAGACCUCUAUUAUCUUCUUCUUCGUGAUUUAUUUGGCGUUUUACCUUUUUUUUUUAUUCAAGCAUUAUUAUUAUUAAAAAGAAAAUAGUAUGUCAAAUUCACGCACAGUUUUCACUUUUUGCUUGAAUUAUGUUUUUUUUUUCUUCAAACGUUUCCCUUGUCUGCUAACAAAUAUUCUUUAAUGAUAUAAAUUUGGAACAACGAGUCUUUAAAAUUACGAAUUCCACGUAUGUUAUACCGCGCGCAGUCCCACUAGGCCACGAUCGCACUACGAUCUGUGACAAAAAUGCAAAUUUUGAUGAUCGUACACCACCACCACCACCACGCCCACGUGUUCUAGAAGAUUUUGGUGGCAUGACUGUAUUGUUUCCGAGAAAUCUAUGUAUUAAUCAGAAAUAGAAGGAAUGGAAUUAUAAUGAUAUGAAACACGAUAAUGACGUUAUAACUGAUAACUGUACAGUAAGAUCGCGGUAUGAACGUAGUAUAAUCGUGGUACGAACGUCCUAUAAUCGCAGUAAAAGCUUGGUAAGAUCUUGUUGCAAUCGGAUAACUCUUGGUAUGGUCGUAGUGAGAACGUGAUGAGCGUAGAAAGAUCUUGAUAAGCGUAGAGAGGUCGCAGAAUAAGCGUGGUGAGAACGUGUUCCUGUACUCGUAGCGGGACCGUUGUAGAAGCGUAAUGAGGACGUAGUAGCAUCAUGAAAGCAACGAAAAUUUACAUUUUCAUGCGCUCAUACCGCGACCUCACCACGAUCGGAAUUUAUUUUAGAUCGCGGUGAGCGUAGUACGCUAGUGGUCUGGUGGGACUGGGGCUUUAGGAUAGACAAGUCAAAUGUUGGAACCUUCUUCAUAAUAUACUAAGGAAUACAUUGUAUUUCUGUUUAUAUAUAAUUAAUAAUUCUCCAUCUAUUUUAAUGUAAAUUAAAAAAUAAAUGGUAAGGCAGUUGCAUUACUUCUGCCUCAGUGGAAGUUACUCUCUUGUGUGUGGGUUCGCUCAAUACUUAUAAUACCGCAGUCCCACUAUGCCACGAUCGCACUACGACCUGUGAAAAAAUUUUGACAAUCGUAGUGCGAUCGUGUAGAUCGCAGUAAGGUCAAAAUACGGUCGUGGUGAGGUCUUCAAGAUCGUGAUGAGCGUGGCCAACUUUGAACAUGUUAAACAAAAUCGUGGUGCGGUCGUGGCGAAUAUCAGGUCGUAGUAGAAGCGUAGUGGUAAGAUCGCAAAGGUCGCUGUACCUUCGUAGCGAGAGCAUAGCAAAAAGCGUGAUUCUAUUCGGAGAGACUCCAGCCCAGUCCCACUAGACCACGAUCGCAACACGCUCACUGCGAUCUAAAAUAAAUUCAGAUCGUGGUGAGGUCACAGUAUGAGCGGCAUGAAAAUGUAAAUUUUCGUUGCUUUCACGAUGCUUCCUACGUCCUUAUUACGCUUCUACAAAGAUCCCGCUACGAUUAUACACGUUCUCACCGCGCUUAUUCUGCGACGUCACGACGCUUAUCGAGACCUUUUUACGCUCAUUACGUACUCACUACGACCAUACCGUGAGUUAACAGAUUGCAACACGAUCUUACCACGCUUCUACUGAGAUUAUAGCACGUUCUUACCACGAUUAUACUACGUUCAUACCACGAUCUUACGACGCUCUCAGUAAUAACGUCCAACAUCGUGUUCCAUAUCAAUACAGUUUCGUUUCUUCUAUUUCUGAUUAAUACGUAGAUUUCUCGGAACAAUACAGUCAUUCCACCACAAUCUACUAGAACACGUGGGUGUGGUGGUAGGGGUUGAUGUAGAUCCAGAGGGAGCUCUGAUAGUAACGAAUCCUGAACAAACAGAGAUGUUGGACCGACCAUCCAACCUAAAUUACAACCUAUUGCUGUCCUAAAGCUCAAAUGCGGUAUAUAUAAAAUUUAGUCCUGGUAUCUAUGAUUAGUUUAUUUACUAUCACUGGGUCGAUGCCACUGCUGGUGGAGAUUUAUUUCCCCGAGGGUAUCACAAGCCCAGUAGUCAGCACUAUGAAUUAUCAUUGAUAUUGUUAUAUUUAUAUAUUAACUGUUUAAAAAGUUUUGAAUUUUUUUAAUACUAAGGCUUUUUACCUCGGAUAGAUUACCUUAGCUGUAUUUUGGAAAACUUUUAGAAUAUUGGUCCAAUGCUCUUAAACUUCGUACUUUUUUUGCCUUUUUAACUUUUUGAUUCGAGCGUCACUGAAGAGUCUUUUGUAGACGAAAGCACGUCUGGCGAAUAUAAAUUUAGUCUGGUAUCUAUGAUGAGUUUAUUUACACCACUGGGUCGAUGCCACUGCUGGUGGAGAUUUAUUUCCCCAGGGUAUCACAAGCCCAGUAGUCAGCCUGUUUUGCUGACAUGAAUUAUCAUUGAUAUUGUUAUAUUUAAAAAAUGAACUGCUUACAAAAUUUUGAAUUUUUUGAAAUACUCAGGCUUUUCUACCUCAGGCAUAGAUUCCUUAGCGUAUUUUGAAAAUUUAGGAAUUUUGGUCCUCAAUGCUCUUAAUUCGUAAUUUAUUUGGCUUUUACUUUUUUGAUUCGAGCGUCACUGAAGUCUUUGUAGACGAAAAGCACGUCUUGGUAUAUAAAAAUUUAGUCCUGUAUCUAUGAUGAGUUUAUUUACUACCACUGGGUCGAUGCGCGGUGGAGAUUAUUCUAUCACAAGCCCAGUAGUCAGCACUGUUUGUGCUGACAUGAAUUAUCAUUGAUAUUGUUAUAUUUAUAAAUGAACUGCUUAUAAAAUUUUGAAUUUUUUUAAAUACUCAGGCUUUUCUACCUCAGGCAUAGAUUACCUUAGCUGUAUUUGGGAAAACUUUUAGGAAUUGUCUCAAUUUACUUUUUUGCCUUUUUACUUUUUGGAUUCGAGCGUCACUGAGAGUCUUUGUAGACGAAAAAGCACGUCUGGCGUAUAUAUAAAAAUUAGUCCUGGUACUAUGAUGAGUUUAUUUACUACCACUGGGUCGAUGCACUGCUGUGGAGAUUUAUUUCCCCGAGGGUAUCACAAGCCCAGUAGUCAGCACUGUUUGUGCUGACAUGAAUUAUCAUUGAUAUUGUUAUAUUUAUAAAUGAACUGCUUACAAAAUUUUGAAUUUUUUGAAAUACUCAGGCUUUUCUACCUCAGGCAUAGAUUACCUUAGCUGUAUUUGGGAAAACUUUUAGGAAUUUUGGUCCUCAAUGCUCUUAAACUUCGUACUUUAUUUGCCUUUUUACUUUUUUGGAUUCGAGCGUCACUGUGGAGUCUUUUGUAGACGAAACGCACGUCUGGCGUAUAUAUAAAUUUAGUCCUGGUAUCUAUGAUGAGUUUAUUUAGUGAACGAUAGCAGAAAUGACACACAUGUGUCAAUAGAUAUAGGAAGAUGUGGUAUGAGUGCCAUCAGACAACUCUCCAUCCAAGUAACAAUUUAUAAAAGUAAACCAUUAUAGGCCAAUGUAUAGCCUUCAACAUGGAUCAUUGGCUCAUAACGAACAGCAAACUAUUAUAAAGGGCCCCACAAAUUGCUAGUUUAAAACCAUUCAAACGGGAAAACCAACGGUCUAAAUUAAAUCUAUAUAAAAACGAGAAGCAUGGUUGAGCCGUUUGAGAAAAUGGACAAGAAGUUCUAAUAACAUACAGACAAACAAAACCUGGAGAUAUUUGAUAUCCACGUAUUGUAUGUGAAAAUUACAAUGCGAAUGAUGGUCGUAGUAUGAACGUAGUUAGGUCGUAAGAAGAGCAUGACGAGGACGACAAGGGCGUGCUAGAAUCGUACUAUGGUUGUGAUCAGCGUUGUAUAGUCAUAGUGGAAGCGUAGUUGGGUCGCGGGUGGCCUAGUGGGACUGCGGUAUUCGCUACGAUCUCAAUGCGACGUUCCUACGACCUCACUACGACCAUCACGUUCUCAUCACGACCCAUCUAGGCUUCCACCACGACUAUACCACAUUUACACCACGCUGUUCAAGACCAUAGUUCGAUUCUAGCACACCAAUGCCGUCCUCAUCACGCUAUUCUUACCACCUGACUACGCUCAUACUACGACCAUCGCGCUCAUUGUCAUUUUCACAUGAAAUAUAUAAAAGCUCUCCAGGUUUUGUUUGUAUGUAUGUAAUUUGGACCUCUUGUCCCUUUUCUCCAACGACUCAACCAUGCUUGACACAUCUGUAUCAUCCCUGCUAUCGUUCACUAAAACAUCGUCAUUUGGUUUGUCCGACAUCUCUGCUAGAUCAGGAUUCGUUACUAUCAGAGCGCCCUCUGCCUCUACAUAAACUCCUACCACCACGCCCACGUGUUCUGGUAGAUUUUGGUGGCAUGACUGUGUUGUUUCCGAGAAAUCUACGUAUUAAUCAGAAAUAUAAGGAAUGGAACAGUAUUUAUAUGGAACACGAUAUUGACGUUAAAUUGCAGAGAACGUUGUAAGAUCGCGGUAUGAACGUAGUAUAAUCGUGGUAAGGACGUGCUAUAAUCGCAGUAGAAGCGUGGUAAGAUCGUGAUGCAGUCGGAUAACUCAUGGUAUGGUCGUAGUGAGAACGUGAUGAGCGUAGUAAGAUCAUGAUAGUCAUAGAGAGCGUGGUGAGAACGUGGUAUAAUCGUAUCGGGGUCGUUGUAGAAGCGUAAUAAGGACGUAGUAUUUUCGUGAAAUCAACGAAAAUUUACAUUUUCAUGUCGCUCAUACCACGACCUCACCACGAUCUUUAAUUAUUUCUGAUCGAGGUGAGCGUGGUGCGAUCGUGGUAACCACACUCAAUUAAAUCAAAAGAUACAAAUCUACCAUUGUUUUUAGUUUACUUUUUCACAUAAGCAUAGCAUUAUGCAUUGUACGUGCUAAUAAUUUUAUACAAUUUCAUUUUCAGAUAUUCCUCAUUAGUCAUUGCAAUGUCAGCUAGUAAGUAUAUUAUAAUCAAUAUCGUUAUAUAAUAUGUACUUGCUAUAUCCCAUGUUACGCAAGCAUUUUUUUAAAGUAAAAAUAGAAGUUAACCUUUGUAGAAGAAUAUUAUAUUUAAAAAUGUCUAUGGUGAAAAUUGUUGAAUUUUACCAACCUGCUGGAAUAAAAGAAAACACAUGCUAACCGACACAGAUACUAUCGAAACGGAAAAAAAUAGUAACUUUCCUAAUAAUAAUGUUAAGAAAAUUUUGAAAUCGUAUUGAUGGACAGUGAAUUCGAUUCCAGUUUAUAAAUCUCUUAUAACAAAACAUACAUGUAGAAGUUUUUCUUUUUAUCAGUACAUUUGUUGGAUAAGGAAAUGUUUUUUUUUCUCAAUUAUUGUUUUGUUUAUUUGUUGUUUGUUUGUCUACACUACUGAUGAUGUUUAUAUUGUUUGCUACUUUCCUUUAGGUCAAAGCAACCCACACUAUAUAGCAGCUGCAAAGGCCAAUAUCCCAAACCCAAGUGGUAAGUCUUAACCAGAUGCUCCGCAGUGCGCAACUUUAUACGACCGCAUAGGUUGAACCCUGAACGGUUGGGGCAAGUAUGGACACAACAUUCAAGCUGGAUUCAGCUCUAAAUAGUUGACACAGUAUAGGUUUCUGACACAGAAUGAAUGUGGUCUAAUGAACUUAAAAAUUUUUUUUUUGCCUUUGAGCAAUUCACUAUGCUGUUGAAUAUUAAUCCUCUCAAAAACAUGUUUGAAGAAAUUUUCUUUUUAUUUAUGAAAUCUGAAAUGAGAAAAAUUUACCCCCCCCCCCAAUUUUUUUUUUCACAUCCCCCUUUCCCUUAUUCCAAAACUGAUCUCAAUUCAAAUUUCUUAUGGAGUUUGCAACAAUAACUACUCAUUUAAAUGCAUCAUAAAAUAUUAAAAUGUAAAAAAGUGCUUGUUAUCAAUGAAUGGUAAAGAUUGUUUUAAUUUAUCAGUUGGUAGUAAAAGUGAAUAUACAUUGUAUAUUGUAUAAAACAAUGAUUUAUGUUGAUCCAACUACUAUUCUGGACAAAGAAAGAUAACUCCAAUUGAAAAUUUCUUCCUAUUGCGCAAUAUUGUGCAAUUAGAUAUUUCUUGCUAUUGCGCAAUACUGUGCAAUUGAAAAUACUUGCUAUUGCACAAUACUGUGCAAUUGAAGAUUUCUUGCUAUUGCGCAAUACUGUGCAAUUGAAAAUUUCUUGCUAUUGCACAAUACUGUGCAAUUGAAGAUUUCUUGCUAUUGCUGAAUACUGUGCAAUUAAAAAUUUCUUGCUAUUUUACAAUACUUAAUAUAAUAAUUUUGGAUCCUGAUUUGGACCAACUUGAAAACUGGGCCCAUAAUCAAAAAUCUUAAGUUCAUGUUUAGAUUCAGCAUAUCAAAGAACCUUAAUUUUGGACCCUUUGGACUCCUUAUUCCUAAGCUGUUGGGACCAAAACUCCCAAAAUCAAUCCCAAACUUCCUUUUAUGGUCAUAAACGUUGUGUUUAAAUUUCAUAGAUUUCUAUUUACUAUUACUAAAGUUAUGGUGCGAAAACCAAGAAAAAAUUCUUAUUUGGGCCCCUUUUUGGCCCCUAAUUCCUAAACUGUUGGGAUCUCAACUCCAAAAUCAAUCCCAACCUUCCUUUGUGGUCAUAAACCUUGUGUCAAAAUUUCAUAGAUUUCUAUUUACUUAAACUAAAGUUAUAGUGCGAAACCAAGAAAAAAUGCUUAUUUGGGCCCUUUUUGGCCCCUAAUUCCUAAACUGUUGGGACCAAAACUCCCAAAAUCAAUCCCAACCUUUCUUUUUUGGUCAUAAACCUUGUGUUAAAAUUUCAUAGAUUUCUAUUUACUUAUACUAAAGUUAUAGUGCGAAAACCAAAUGUCUUUGGACGACGACGACGACGACGACGCCAACGUGAUACCAAUAUACAUGUAUGACCAACAAAUUUUCAAUUUUUGCGGUCGUAUAAAAAAACAAUAGCUUUUAAUUUAGUACAAAUUUACAUUAUCUCAUUAUCUAUCUAUACUAUUAAACGAGAAGACCUCAUUUUGUGUGUCGCUUCUUAACAUUGAAGUGAAAAGAAUCUGUCAUUUUAAAUGACUGUCUACUUAGAGUAAAUAUGUUUAAUUAUACUGUCUUCUGACAUCCCCUUUUUAAAUGUCAGAUCUUUCAGGGAUCUCAUUAUCCUUUCGGGGCAUCUAUGAUCAACCCCAGUUUUUGGUUGGGUUCUUGUUGUCUAAUCUGGUUUUUCUACGAAGUGUUUUGUCGACAGUUGUGUCACUUUUUCAGAGUGAUUGCGUCAAUCCUGUUCCAAUCGAAAUUAAUAGCUCAUUCUACUGCUCAACUGCUACACCAAUGUCUCAGGUUAGAGGAGGGUUGAGCGCUAAUACCCAUGUUUAAUCUCGAAAUAUUGUUUAAGUGCCUGUCCCUAGUUAAGAGCCUAUUUUUCGAGUAGCAAUCUUUGGUUGCUGUCUAUAUGUAUAUCUCAUUAGUUUUUCGAAUGUUGUAAUUUGCAUAAAUCCGGUUUCAUGUAGAUAAUUGCAUCAUUGGUAAGCAUACCAGGUACAUCUCCUUAUUUCGUAACUACCUUGACAGAUUAUAAAAUGACACUUAUAAUGCUGAUAUAUUUCAUUAGAUAUUUCAGCAAUCAUAAGAAAUUUUUAAAAGUAUAUAUACUUAAUAUAUCUUAAAAACUUGAAUCAAUAUGAAAAUAGUUUUAUUUACGUAGUAUAUGGACUUUAUGCGGAAUCUGCUAGAUCGAAAUCAGUACAAAUAUUGCGUAUUGCUUAAAUGACCAUCAUCGGCUAUAUGUCAAUGGCAAAAGCCAAAGACCAAAUUCGAACAAAAUUCAAAUUGAACAGAAUCCCCAAUGAUUCAUUUGUCUGCGAAUUUAUCCGAGUGACAAAGACCUGUAUAAAGUACGCAAACAAAUCUAAGUACAGACACAUAUUGAUGGGUCAAUUAACUGUUGAUUGCUUAACAUUCCCUGGCAAAUAUUUCAUGUUUAGGUGGAGAACAAAUUAGCAGUAAAUACAAUUGGUAGGUCCUGUAAUAGAUGUCAUGCAAGAUUUAUGUCGAAGAAACUUUAUCGCCGCUGUAUAUUUGAUUGAGAAAAUAAUUUGAUCUCGCAACAGACCACCUAUGGACCCUUAAAGUAUGGUUGCAAGCCUUCAUAACAUGCAGAGAGCGAUUAUUCUCUUUGUAUGAGGCAUCAAUUGAAAAUUCCCAUUCUGACUGCAUGAACGUGGCUGCGUACUUGUACAUCCUGCACAACCUAACAAACUCCCAACUUUGGAGAAAGUACAAUAUUUCUGGUCGGAAGAAGAUAAAAGUGACCGUAAAGCUAUUCCCCAGUCACCAUAUGGGGCCACAUAUUGACGCAGGAGGCUUUAACCUUACUGUGCUAGAUUAAUCUAUCCAACCUGAUAAGUUAUAACUAAAAGGAAAUCCCUAUUAUUUCUAUCUUUCCAUUCUCAAGACGCAGUCCGCCAGAUGAUAUGAAAUGUCAGAUUAAGAUAAAUUUUCACAUGUACCUUAACUUAAAGUUGUUGAUUUUUUGACAAUAUUCGUUGAAAUUGGUAUCGUAUAACACAUCAGAUAAUUCAGGGGCGUAGCUUACGUUGAGGAAACCGAGGCAAAGUAACCGAGGCAAAGUAACCGAGGCAACUUUGCCUCGGUGAAAAAAAUAUUUUUCCUUCACUGUAUUUUCUUUUAAAUAGUUAUUGCAGCAAACUGGCUACUAAAUAAUAAUGUAGCAACUUGUUAUGUCUUGUUGGCGCGGUUAUUGAUUCAUACCCUUUACGAAUUCUUCAAGACUUAUGGGAACAUUUGAAUUAAUUUUCCCUCCUCUACUUGGAAAUACCCUUUACGGUAGUUUUCUGUAAUUCAAGUUUGGCAGAGUAAAGGGAAAUCGACAACCGAUUUAUUUUGUCCUACCCCAUUGCAAGCGAAAACAGUGAGUAGAAUAGAUGAGGAUGCAACUCACGAGUCACCCGAUCAAAUCACUUUGCCAUUGAACUAGGUCAAUUAGUUAAUUUUGUGUCAGAAUAAUUUCUAGUAUAUAUGAGGGCCUGUGUGAGGUUUUAAGAAAACAGAAAAAUCGGUCCUGAAAUUAAUUUAAAUUUAAAAUAAUAUGGAUUUAAAAUGAUGCUAAAUUAUAAAAUAAAGGGAAAUCAAAUUAUGGACGACAACGAUUAAAAAAUAAAUAUUUGAUAAUCCCAUUCUAAGCAUUCAAACCCUCAUUUAUAACCGUUGACAUGUUCCCCUACGACUAUGUUCAUUGACAUUCAAUUUGGUACUAAACAAAACAAAAUAUGCAUUUAUGUAUUAUAGUGCACAGAAAAUAAUUUAUAUAUGUUGUGGUUCUCAAGUUUUAUUCUCGCUAUUUUAAAUGUACAUGUAGCAUAUGUUUUUCUCCUAGUUUAAUAUCCCGAAAUUCGUUUGUUCAAUCCAGCUGUCAUUUUGUGGUGAUUAUCUAUAAUUCGUUGAUUCGUGACCUACGACCAAAUAAAUGAUCAUCACAAAACUUAUUACAAAUAAACCUUAAUAAUUUGCGUUUGUUUUUUUUUUCUUUCUGUAUUGAACAUUUUGUACAGGUUUCUUCUAUCCACCGAGCAAGGUCAUGAUUUCUUGUGAUAUGACGUGUGAGGUACAACCAACUAUAUUAGAGUGUACUACUGCUUUGAAAUAUAUUGGGAGCCAUUAGGCAUUUGAGCUUGCUUUCUGCUGGGAACAGUAUGUCAAUUAAUAUAUUUGUUCCGCUUUCUGUAAAACUGCUAGCAAGUCAGGAAACUGACUUUUCAUUGGUUGUCUAAUGCGAUACCAUCACGUAUUUUGUUAUUUCUAUAGCUUUGAGUAUAGAUAGUAAGGCAUAUAAUUAACAUUAUUAUGAUGAAAUAACAUUGAACAGCAACUAUUUUUAACGAUUUGUUCUUGUUCAAUUUUUUUUUGUAAAAACCUCUAUACUUCAAGGGGCUUGCGCCCCUGAAAAUUGUCCCAACUCGAGUCGGUAUAAACAGAAGGCAAGCUACGCCACUGGAUAUUUUAACACAUCCGACUUUAACUCGAAUGAUUCAAGCCCUUACCGUCUCCGAUUCUCUCCACCUUUCGUUAAUGAAGUGAUCGAUAGGGAGCGUAAUAUAACGACUGGCAUUGUUCGGGUUAACGUAAAAAGAAAACUAAUGUGAUUCCAGAGUUAUGGGACUUUGACUGCCAGAUGCAUGUAAAUAAAAUAUUAUUUGUAAACGUCAUUGAGUAGCUAAAUAACUACAAAAUUUUUUUCGUUCCAGAGUUAUUGGACUUUUAACAGUCAGAAUAUAAUACUUGUAGCAUAAGUGUAUCUUUAUGCAUAUUUUUCUACAGAGCCUUUUUAUUUGCGUCUGAUUAAUGCUAUCUAAAAUAUCCCAUUUUAUUUUUGCAACAAUUUCAAUAUGCACAAUAAGGGUGUGCCAUGCGCUAUUGACGCAACUGGUUUUUUUUUCAUAGCGGGAUCAUUAACAUAUAGGUGUUGCAUUAAACUCUUUUGAGAAAAUUCCCAUGCGAUUAAAAUAAAUGUAUGUAAUAUUUUAAACUAUUAUAUUAGCUUAAAUAUCAGUUACUUCCAGCUUAUUUUAUUUUGUUUAGAUCAAUUUUCACCUCAAUAAAUGUUACUAUUUUCUUUAAAGCAUCACUCCACACUGAAAAGUAAAGUAUAGAAACGUCUUUGUUAUGUUGCCACAUAUUGACAGUAAGUGUAUCAUUGGCAAAAGUUUCUGCUAUAUAAUUUAUACUCAAAUAUUUCACUGGAUACCAAAUAAUAUCGCCGUUAAAUUGAUCGAGUUGACCAUUCAUGGAAGCCUCAGUAGCACAGUCUAUACAAGAUUUGAUGUACAUUGAUUGGUUAGCAUGCAUUUUGACAUCCAUAUCACUAUAUCGGGAUUUAAAGGUCCAUUUAAAGCAAUCAGGCGGUGAUGUCGGAAUGGGAGUACUAGUUUUCUUCAAUACUUUGGGCAUUCCUCGAUCUUUCAAAUGUGAAAACAUUUGGUGAAAUUGCGGAGACCACUUCACUGGUCUGUGUGUUUCAUUGUCAACCCUACAAAGUUUUGCCAGCCUUUCUACCAAAAGUUCUCCCGUAUCACUGUGUAUAAGUUUUGUGACUGUGCUGUGUGUACUGGUACCUGGUUCGCACAGUUCUUUUGUUACUGUCAAAUUUAUUGGAUCAAGGUAGUCGAACUGGUAUACUUUUGGGUUGAUAUAAUUUAAAAUCAUUUUUAGCAUGAUGAAUGUCGAUGUUUCACACAUGUUAUUGUCAGUAUCAGAGAUAUUCAUGAAUACUUCUGACUGCCGGGCUUUAAAUUUUGCUCCGUCUAGAAAUAAUGACAAAUUCCAUAUACCCCAUUUGCCUAAAAGAAAUAGAAAUAUGAAGACCCAUAGCAAACGAUUAAAUUCAAAAUAAAUUAAAAUUAGCUGAAAGGACAUUUUUCGUUUUUAGUCAUGACGUUGUCUUCGACUUAUAUUAAUUUGAAUUUCUAAUAGUUUAUAAUAAACGAUUAUAUUUAAAUUAAAUUAAAAUAAGCUGAAAGGACAUUUUUCAUUUGUUUUGUUCGUGUUGUUGUCUCUUUGACAUAUUACCCGUUUUCAUUUUCAAUUUUAAUUGUUAUUCUGUAUUGCAUGCUAUUAACUGUUAAUAUUUUUAACUCUUUUUCGGCUUUGUGUCCUUUUUUCUUAAACAGACAUAUACUGCUUUAAUUUAGUGUUGACCUCUAAAACCAACCUGUUCUGUUAUCAAAGCCGUAUGGUAUGCCUUUUGUUGUUAUUUCUGCGUAGUCAGGUGUAACAUUUGUUAUGGUGUAUAUACCUCUAUCACUCGCCCAUGUCUGAAGAAUACAUGAUUGAAAGUCAAGUAUUUCACAGGUUUAGCAAAAAUUUGCAUUUUACACUUCUGUACCUUUUGGGUUUUUUUUAUUUAUCCCGGCUGUGCAUUUUAAAAAAAACAACAGCCUAAUUUUGUACAAUGUCAUCGUGUUUUUGAAAAUUCGAAAAUAUAAUAAAAUUUAGAAAAAAACACUGUAAAAAAGCUGCAUGUAUCUGCACUUUUAAAGUUGACUGAUCAUCAUAGCUGCCAUUUUGGAUCUCAAAUGAUUGGUAUAAUUACGCCGGUGUACAAGUUUACUUCAAACAAAAACAAGGGAUAUAUAUAAUAAAGGCGCAGAAUGUACAUCAGUGUAAAUCAUUUGUUGUUAAAUUUUAUUUAGAUAUAAUUGUAAUGUGCAUAUAUAACUUUUGAUAUCAGUGAGUAAUGUAGCACGAAAAAAUACAUGUACCUAGGUAACCGCUAUUUUUCUUUUUUCUUUAUUGAAAACUAUCUCUUCAAAAUUUUAUUAUUUUCUAUUUUAUCGUAUUAUUUUCAUUCAGAUCAUGCACAUAUCAAUUUCCUACACAAGAAAGUGUUGAGUUACAUGUAGCAUGCAAGCAGACUCGGUGACAUAGACUUGUUAUCAUAUUUUUAUCAGUGUAAUGUAAACUACAUUUUGGCAAACUAUUUCAUAUAUAUAUAUAUAUAUAAUUUGGUAAUUUGUGCUCAUUCCUUGACCUUUGUUAUGUGCCCUUUUGGUGUUCUAUAAUUUCUUUUGACGCGAACGGCGAGCCAUAGACAACAUCAGAAAAUAGAAACGCUUGCUUAUACACACAUUAUUAUGUGUACUUUUCUGAUUCAUACCAAAGUCACAUUCAAGGUUGUUUGCUGCAUAAAGUAUAAACAUCAUUUACAAAAACUAGUGUCAUGAUAAUGAACUGCGAAUAAAAAUUUUGAUUUUGCCGUAUUGUUCACAGCAAACAUUUACGUAAUGUAAACAUUCCAUGGGAAAUUUCUAAGUAAAUUUACAUACUAGGGUAACGUCAAUAAUUUUAGUGUGAGCAAAUAUACAUUAAUUUUGAUACAUUUCAUUAUUAAACUUACCAAUAGUUUAGUGUUGCUUAAGAUUAGGGUUUUGCUAACAGUAACACAUCGACGAAACAUUUUUUUCUAUUAUCAGUUGGUUUGACCUAAUUUAAAUAUGGAGGGCUAACUUACCAAUAAUUUAGUAAUAACGUUAAAUUGUUAAGUUGACAUACUUAGUACUAUGGUAAGUAUUAGACAAAAAUAUUACUGAUUACUCAGGGAAAACAUCAUAGGUAAUGUAUAUUCAUUACAGAGUCCAACUGCUUUUUUAAAUAGGUACUGUAAUAUACAUUUAAGAUCAUUAAGGUGGUAUAUACCCAACACUUUAACUAAAAUUAAUUUGGCUCGUUUAAUUUUCUUAAAAUUUAGAAAAAAGUAUUAACUUUGACCCUUUGAAAAAAUAUUAAAAUUUAAAAAAAUUUGAACCAACCGUUUUAUCAGAAAAAUUACACUGGUUAUAUAGCAGUUUGACGAACACUUAUUUUUAUCAUUGAGAAGCUUAAUAUUCCCUUAACAACACAACGUAAUCAAAACGUUUAGCUGAUUUUGCAGAGUUAUCUCCCUAUUGUGUUAGGUGCCACCUUAAGAUCAUAUUUUAAAAUAACAUCGCCUACAAUUUUUAUAUGAAUGUAUAUCAGCGACAUACAGAUGGUUUUAUAUGUCUCUGUUUGUAAGAUAUAACUUACAUUGUGUUUUUGUGUAUUAAUAUUAGUAUCUUCUUUCAUAGAGUCGGUAUAUAGCAAACAACAUACAUACGAAUACAUGUAGUGGUGCACAGUAAAAUUGUCAUAUUUAUAAACAAUUGUGUUUUUGAGUUAAAUUCGUAACACAUACAUAUAAUUAUCUUUAUAGACAUUACUGACGUAAUCAUACGGUUCGAGACAAAUGGAGAACCUAACCUCAAGGCUUACGAUGCACAACCUAAAAAUCCUUCCGUUCAUGACACCACAAUAGGUAAUAUAUAUAUAAUAGAAUGUUCGGUUUGUUUUUACAGCUAAAAAGAAUAAAAUGAUGACUAAAGUUUGUAUAUGGAAUGGGUAUAGGUAUAACACCACCGAAUCAUAGUACGGCUCCGGUUGCAUACUAAAAUAGAUAAAAAAAAAAUAUUCCCUUGAAUUUGACAGUUGUAAGUAAUUAAUCCUACAUUUUAUUGCUGUAUAAAUCAUUUCUGGGUCAUACACAUAUAUCUUGGAUAUUUCAAAGCAUCAUUUUUUUAUUUUGGGUUUCUAUUGAAUAUUUUGGGAACUUGAGUGUACAUGGUUACUUAAGCAUGUUAAGCUUGUACACAAAUGUACACCGGUACAAAAGAGGUGAAAAUUUGAUUGGUUAUCUUCCAGUGGUGGUUUAUAUACGGCCGUCACAAUUUUGACAGGACGUAUUAUGCAUACAAAUGUCUGGUGUCCGUCUGUCCUUCUGUCUGUCCGUCUGGAUGUCUGGAUGUCCUCCCGUUUGUCUGUCUGUUCGGCUUAUCCAAGUCGCACUGUAACUUGAGAACGACUGUUUCUUAUGAUUGUCAAAUGAUUUGUACAUGAUGAACUUUUUUGGUGAAAAUAAGAUUAAAACAUUUUGAGUUACAGGACUUUGUAGUAAAAACUAUGAAAUUCAAAACAGUGUAGUGUGGCCAUUGAUUGACACAUUAAAAUAUUCAUUGACUAGCGACAAUUUAGUGAACCUUUGUAUGUAACGACCAAAUGCCUCCACUAUGUACUUUUUUUAAAGACACCUUAAAACUAUGGUCACAAAGUUUCAACAACCUAAAAUAAGUAUAAUUCGAAAAACUUAAUCAGAAAUAACACGAUAUUUUUGAUUUUAUAUCAUUAUAUAAAUCAAAACACAAAGGUUUUCCUGAUUAAUUUUGUCGAAAUUAUUUAUAAUUAAACGUUAAAGAAACCUUUGUUGGCCCCAGCAGUUAAAUGUCUAUCGUAGUACGUCAAUGAACAAGUGGUUGUUACAGAAAAACGUUCAAGUAAAUACUUGUCCCAGUCAAUGGAUAUUUUGAUGGUCAAUCAAUGGCCACAGCUAACACUCGUUUUGAAUUUCAUACUAUCUAAAACAGGGUUGUGUUUUUUUCACAUGUCGCACCAUAUCUCAAAAACUAUUUAUGAUUAUUGCUUAAAACUUUACACACUUCUUAUUUAUAUUUAUCUAAAGGUCUGUAUACUUUUUUGUGACGAUUCAAAAUUUUAUUUUUAGAGUUAUUGAGUUUAUUGAUAACAGACAAGUAGGGGGAAAUUAAUGGUGGUUUUACACCUAUACACCAAAAUGUAUGCAGUAUAACCAACACAGCUGUUAUCAAAUGUUAGAACAAAAUAGAAUCAUAUUCAAAACAGUGUGGCUGUGGCCAUUGAUUGACGACCUAAAUUAUCCCAUUGACUGGGACAGAUUAUGUGAACGUUUGUCUGUAACGAUCACUGCUCACUAUGUACUUGUUAAAGACACUUAAACUGUGGGGUCACCAAAUGUUCUCAACACCUAAAUGAAGUUAUAUAUUAUUGAUAUAAAUCAUAACAUCGUGUUAUUCCUGAUUAAUUUUUCGAAUUAUUUUAUUAUUGAAGACGUAAAGAACUUUGGUUACCCCACAGUUUAAAUUCUAUAAUAAGUAAAUAGUGAGCAGUGGUCGUUACAGACAAACGUUCACCUAAUCUGUCCCAGUCAAUGGAAUAACCUAGGUCGUCAAUCAAUGCCACAGCCACACUGUUUUGAAUAUGAUUCUAUUUAUAUAACCGACUUUUACAAAUGUAUUUGAACAAAAAUCUUUAGAAGGAAGCCAACCAAUGUUCCUCUCUUUCUUAACCAGUCGUGCGACUGUAUCAACAAUAACAACACCGCCACCAUACAACCCAGCGGUCUAGCCUAGUAUUUUUUCACCUCUGACUUUUGAGAAGACGCCAAUAACUUUCAUUGUACGACUUUACAUUGCUAUUUUAGUAUAACGGGGCUUUAUUGUGUGCUGUAAGUGUGUUGGUACUGUCAAGUGAUUUAAUGUAAGCCGUUUUCACUAAUUGAUUCGUUAAAGGGAUCUUCUUCUAAGUUAUUUAUUAGAGUAGUUGGUCGAGUGGUGUUGACUCUGACAUUAAAAUUUAACAAUGUCAUAUCAACACGCACAUUUGAUUUGUACGUCCUCUCUUGAAACGAAAUUACAAUCAUGUUUACAUCUUUGCGCUGUGCGCUACGCAUAUAAAGACAGAGCCGCUAAAUUCUUCGUCAGAUCGAAUCUUCAGUCAAACAUAAGGGGUGUUAAAGCCCGCAUGUUUUCCGUUGAUUUCUCAUGAAAUUCUACUAAUAGGCCUUGUUUCGGAGAAUCGAAUGAAUACAUCAUUAUAACUGGAUGAAAACAAAAACAUAUACUAUGCACAAAAUUGAUAGUGACGCCCACAUUAAAAUUAUUUUAGUAAAAAUAGAAAGAAACAAGGCGAAAAGGCUUGUAAAUUACAAUAAGAAAAAAGUGAAAACAACUAGAAAUUCGUAUCAUUAAAGCCGUUAAAAAAUUUAUACUGUAGAUAUAAGAAGAAGAUGUGGUACAUUGUACAUGUAUAAGUGCCAAUGAGACAACUCUAUACCUCCAUCGAAUGAUUGAUUGCUGGUUUCUUAACGUCCAGUGGCAAAUAUUUCAUGUAUGUUCAGGCCGAGAACAGGUUAACAAUAAAUACAAUAUGUAGGUCUUGUAAAAAGGGCAAUCCGGGAUGAUAGUCGGGGAAAUUUGGACUGCCACUGGAAAAUGAUGGUAUAUUGGAUAGAGACAGAAAUUUUGUUUUGAAACAGGCAACCUAUGGACCCCUCAAAGGUUUGUUGCAAGGGUUCUUAACGUGCAAGGUGCGUGGCGCUCUCUCCACACGAAGCAUCGGAUUUAACGUCCCCAUUCUGACCGGACGUGACUGCAAACUUGAUACAUUCCGCCUGGUCAAACGGACGCCCCACUUUGGCAAGCGUUUUACUGCCGGUCGGAAGAUGACCAAGUGACUAUAUUUCUAGUCCCGAGUCACUCUUUGGAUGGGGUGCUCACCAUUCAAGUCACAAUUUGUAAAACUCAAGUACAAAGUCAAAGUACGGCCUUCAACACGGAGCCUUGACUUAAACCGAACAGCAAGCCCCAUGAUUAUGAAUUUUUUCACCGCAAAUUAGCUUUAUCUCUUGGUAUUAAUAUUUUAGGUUAUGGGUUCAACCUAAACAGAUCAGAUGCAAAAGUAACUUUCCAAAAACUUGUUCCAGAGGUUGAUUUUGACAAUGUUAAGACGGGACAAGAAAACAUAACAAAAGAACAAGCUAUUAAACUAUUCAAUGUAAGUAUAAAAAGUUACCAGUCUCAAAUAGAUUUGUGUGGCUGAGCUGGGCUAAGGUGUGUCCCUGGCUUUAAUGAUACAGCCCGUAACAGAGAAGUGAUCGAAUUGAUGUUUCUUUACCGUCAAAAUUAGCUACGUUAUCGACAAACUUAAUUGAGUAGACCGAACUAUGGUACUUUAACGUUAAAAAGAUUGACAAUGCUGACAAACUUUCAUGUGUCGAUAAUCAAGUUUAAUACCGAUAAGGGGACGACCAUUUGAUAUUCUGGGGGGGAGGGGGGCAGGAGGAUUUGUUUUUGAUCGGUUAUUUAUUUUUGUAAACUAAGAGGACAUAUUAUUCAUUUUCUGCACUAUUGAAGCAUGAUUUUUCAUUUUCAUUAAGGCAAGGGACUGAUUAUUCAUUUUCACAACUAUAUUUAUGAUAUUCGAAAACAUCCACUUUUUAAAUGAUUUGUUUAUUAUAAAUAAUACAUGUAUAGUCAAGUCAUUAUGUACCAUUUAAUCAAAGUUAAUCAUCAUCCUCUGCAGAAAUGAAUCUUUUAUAUUCCUAACUGUAUAAACAUGUAUUGCAUACAUACUUAGUAUUAAAGUUUUGUAAUAAGUAUAGCAUCUUUUAAAAGUAUUGGCCAAGAUAUCUUGCCGAGCGUAGCGAGGCAAAUUAUUUUUUGAAGGGUUUUGGAGCCAGUGAAGGCCCAAGAAGCUAUAGAACAAAUGAUGCAAAAUCAGGCUUUCUGGGUGUUCCUUCAAGACCCUUUCAUAAUUUAAAAAUGCAAGUUUUGUUUUAAUAAUUUUUUGACUAUAUUUUGGUCUCAAAGCAAAAUGAAUAAAUUCAGUGGAAGACUUUCUAGGUACAACAUCAAAAGACCAAUGUGCAUGAUUGGAAUUCACAUAGUUAAGUCUGGGGCUGCUGUUUUUUUUUUAAACUCAUGAUCAAGUUCAUAACAAAAUUACAAGAUUACAAAAAGAAUGCAACAAAAUCAUGACAGAAGGGCAAUCAAUGAACAAAAGACAAGUCAAUAAGAAACAUUGAUCCUGAAAAAUUAGGGCUAUGUCUGAGGAAAAACAGAACUUGCUUCUUGCAAGGCACUCGCCGUGAAAACAAUUUGAUAUGGAGACAAGCGUUUGGUUUUGAAAUUUUCUACAUGAGGCAUUUGUCUCAAUUUAGUUACGGCCCUGUUAAAAUAAAAGUGAGGCAAGGUUUCCUGAGACAAUAUACCUCAAGUUAAAUGAAACUAAUUUUCAGACAUUUCAAGUUAUUUAAAAAAUAUUUAUACCUUUAUUGUUAAAAAAAUUGGGAAUUGUUUCCCGAUUUUUGUUGGAAAAAAAGAUGAAUCAGGAAGAAUCUGGUACCAAUUAGACCUGCUGAGUUAUUUAUUUUCAAUAAAUUGUAAGUCAGGUAAUUUAUUUUCAAACUACCACAGAACAAACCAUUUAUUUUUGUGAUUAUCAAGGCUGAGUUAUUUAUUUUCAAAAUCCUCUUUAAAAAAUUAAAAGAUUUAUUGAAAGACGUCUUAAUAGUAUUAUUUCCUUACAAUUUUACCCAAAACUAAAAGAAAUAUACUGGUAAACAUAAAAAAGGUGUUUGAGUAGGAUGAAGUCCUUUAUUUUUUCGGACUUCAAUGGUAACCGGUAUGUGUGAUGGAUUGAAUUUCAAUCAAUAACUUUGAAAUGUUUUCUCAUUAUGUAUAACAAAAGCGGAGGACUGGUAUUGUACUUUUGUAGAAUAUGUCUCUCGUCCUUUCACAUGCCAAACUUUUUUCUAGUAAUAGUUUGAUAAAGAUUUUAUAGAGGUCGCACCAACUGUUUCUACAGCUAAGAUCAGUUACAUGUAACAUGAUCUCGUCGAUUCGCACGACGAAGCUAUUGUUUAUGACAGAUAUCAUCCAUUCUAGUUAUGUAUUUUUGUUUUAUUUUUUUUCCGUCAGUUCGGAUAGUAUUUGAUCAUUUUUCAAUCCUUGUAUUUCAUAAAUAUGUGUUAUGAACAAAGACAUAUGUUCGAUUGAAUAAUGAUUUCCUCGUAACCAAAUGAUAGAAAAGUUCCGCGAGAUCUUAUUAUAUCCUUUACCGGUUAAAAUGACAGUAGCAAUGGAAACAGAGGUUGAUUAUAAAAAAUGUUUUACUGUUGUUAAAAAAGUUCGACUUAACAAUGUAAAUACUUACACGUUGGACAUAAUAAAUAUUUUGGUCGAUAGAAGAAAAGUCAAAUUAUGCACUUCUGAAAUAAGUUUGCUAGAUUAACGUAACUUAUUGCUGACGGUAAAGAAACAGCGAAUUCAUCACUACUCUGUUACGGCUGUAGACAUCUUGAUUACACGAAAAUGUUUUACGGAAGUAGCAGGCAGAUAAUUCUCAAAACAAAAACAUAUUUUAUUAAAGAAUAUGUUUUUUAUUAUAAUUAUUUCAAACAAACAAUUUGCUUGAGUCCUAUUAAAUGGAAAUAAGAAAUUACUAAGUCCAUGCCCGAAUAAAAUAUAGUAUUGCCUAUUUGAAAGCCUGUAGAAUAAAUGAAAGCAAAAGAACAUGUGUGAUAAUCAAUUUAGAUCGUGUUUGAAUCCGUAGUCGCAUUUGAAUAUGAUUCUUUUCUCUAUAACUAGGUCAAGCAAGAAAUGUUUGGAAGUAUUUCAGUGUUCAUCUAGUCAGAAUAAUAUCACUCUUAAAUGUUUGUUUUGAACGGAUUAUAUUUUAUUGACAAACUAAUAUUACCUCCGGAGGACAAGGUUCAUUAUUAAUUGGCUUACUUUGAAUGAAAUUUUUGUUCGAUAAUUAGCUUUUCAUUAUAGGACAAAAUUAAAAUGGCUUAUCUGUCGAAGUCUAUUUUAGGGAAUAAGGUGAACAAAAUAUUCCUAAAUACGCAAGUCAGUUAAAAAUCAAAUAACUAAAAUACCGAAAUCCAAGGAUAAUUUAAAACGGAAAGUCAAUAAACAAAAUAUUAAAAUGUCAAAAUCAAAAGCUCAAACAAAUCAAACGAAUGGAUAACAAAUGUUAUGUUCCUGUCUUGGUACCGACAUUUUCGUAUCAAUUUAAUUUUUUUCAAUAUUAUAUUAUGAAUAUGAUUCUAAAGAUGAUUCUUGUCUCUUUUAUAUUAAUGCAGCAUGACAUUACUGAACACGUGAACAGAGCCAAAUCGAGGCUUGGAGACAGCGUAUAUAAUUCCUUACCACCAAAUGUCAGGUCUGCUGUCAUAAGUGCAGUAUNNNNNNNNNNNNNNNNNNNNNNNNNNNNNNNNNNNNNNNNNNNNNNNNNNNNNNNNNNNNNNNNNNNNNNNNNNNNNNNNNNNNNNNNNNNNNNNNNNNNNNNNNNNNNNNNNNNNNNNNNNNNNNNNNNNNNNNNNNNNNNNNNNNNNNNNNNNNNNNNNNNNNNNNNNNNNNNNNNNNNNNNNNNNNNNNNNNNNNNNNNNNNNNNNNNNNNNNNNNNNNNNNNNNNNNNNNNNNNNNNNNNNNNNNNNNNNNNNNNNNNNNNNNNNNNNNNNNNNNNNNNNNNNNNNNNNNNNNNNNNNNNNNNNNNNNNNNNNNNNNNNNNNNNNNNNNNNNNNNNNNNNNNNNNNNNNNNNNNNNNNNNNNNNNNNNNNNNNNNNNNNNNNNNNNNNNNNNNNNNNNNNNNNNNNNNNNNNNNNNNNNNNNNNNNNNNNNNNNNNNNNNNNNNNNNNNNNNNNNNNNNNNNNNNNNNNNNNNNNNNNNNNNNNNNNNNNNNNNNNNNNNNNNNNNNNNNNNNNNNNNNNNNNNNNNNNNNNNNNNNNNNNNNNNNNNNNNNNNNNNNNNNNNNNNNNNNNNNNNNNNNNNNNNNNNNNNNNNNNNNNNNNNNNNNNNNNNNNNNNNNNNNNNNNNNNNNNNNNNNNNNNNNNNNNNNNNNNNNNNNNNNNNNNNNNNNNNNNNNNNNNNNNNNNNNNNNNNNNNNNNNNNNNNNNNNNNNNNNNNNNNNNNNNNNNNNNNNNNNNNNNNNNNNNNNNNNNNNNNNNNNNNNNNNNNNNNNNNNNNNNNNNNNNNNNNNNNNNNNNNNNNNNNNNNNNNNNNNNNNNNNNNNNNNNNNNNNNNNNNNNNNNNNNNNNNNNNNNNNNNNNNNNNNNNNNNNNNNNNNNNNNNNNNNNNNNNNNNNNNNNNNNNNNNNNNNNNNNNNNNNNNNNNNNNNNNNNNNNNNNNNNNNNNNNNNNNNNNNNNNNNNNNNNNNNNNNNNNNNNNNNNNNNNNNNNNNNNNNNNUUUGCAUGCGGUAUCCCUAUUUUUUUUCUCGCUCAUCUUUUAUUGUUGUUUUUUUCAUUCUAUAAAGUGUGUAUUUUGCUAAUGUCGAAGGCCAUACGGGGACCUAUAGCUUGAAUAACGCCUGUUGGUUUUGAAAAUGGGCCGCAAAUUAAUUUAGUCAAAUCACUUAGUUGAAAUUAAAGACCUGGCGAAUUUUAGCCUUUUGCAAUGGAUGUGAUGUAUGUUUAAAAAAAAUCAUGGUUUUGUUUGGACAUUUUUUAUAAAUCAAGUCUUGUUUUUAAAUUAUUUGCAAGUAAGUUUUAAGUCAUGAACAAAUAAUCACUCACAGAAAGACGUCAAAUCCAUCAACAAAGAAAAAAAAUUAAUAGACGACCGACAACGCACAGAAUAUCAUGUAUGUGUUCCGGACCAUAUGAGUAUUUGGACCAUACGCAUAUAUCAUGACCAUAAGGGUAUACUAAUAUGGUCCAACCAUACACGUAUGGUCCAAAUACUCAUAAGGUCCGGAAACAUAUUUUAUUUGCGAUCACAAAAUGCACGAAGACGUCCAUUUCUAUGUAAAUUGGGUCGAUUUUUUUAUAUAGAUAAGAUGAAUGCGUUUCUGUGUCCAAGUGUUUUUCACAAGUAUAGUAGCAGUAUAGCAGAACGGUUUAAGUUUCCUAUAUACACCAAAUGAUACAUUUUGCCAAUACAAUAACGUAAAUGCAUGCAAAUUUCACAAGGUUUAAUCCAAAUAGCUUUCUUACUAUCCAAUAACUUUCAAGUACGAAAAAGACAGGGCAGAAGUAUAUUUUGUCUUUAUGUUUCGUAUUUGCACAACUUUUGAAAGUGGAUUAUGCAUUCGUUCUAAAAUAAAAUUAGACCAUGAUUACAUAACUCGACAAUCGCAAUUGUUAAAUCCGAAAAAGAUAAUCAAUCAAUACAUGCAUUCAGUAAGUCAUUCUUUUUUCUGAAAGAACAUGGCUUUGCGAUAUCUUAUUAUGAAAAUUGAUUGUCGAAACAUAACAAAAACACAAGUAAAGGACGUUUAAUUAAUCAAUAUAAAUCAAAACACAAAUUCCUGAUUAGUAUUUCGAAUUAUUUUAUAUAGGCGUUGAGAACCUUUGGUGACCCCACGGUUUAAAUGUUUAUAUUAAGGACGUCGUGAGCAAUGGGCGUUAUAGACGAACGUUCACCUAAUCUGUCCCAGUCAAUGGGAUAUUAAAGUGCGCCAAUCAAUGUCCAUAGCCACACUGUUAUGAAUUCGAUACUAAAUUUGUGUGGCUGAGCUGGGCUAAGGUGUAUCCCUGGCUUUAAUGAUAGACAUCUUGAUUACACGAAAAUGUUUUACGGGAAGUAGCAGGCAGAUAAUUCUUAAAACAAAAACAUAUUUAUAAAAGAAUAUUUUUUUUAUUUAUAAUUAUUUCAAACAAACAAUUUGAUUGAGUCCUAUUAAAUGGAAAUAAGAAAUUACUAAGUCCAUGCCCGAAUAAAAUAUAGUAUUGCCUAUUUUGGAAGCCUGUAGAAUAAAUGAAAGCAAAAGAAUGUGUGUGAUAAUCAAUUUAGAUCGUGUUUGAAUCCGUAGUCGCAUUUGAAUAUGAUUUUUUUCUCUAUAAUUACGUCAAGCAAGAAAUGUUUGGAAGUAUUUCACACAGUGUAGAUACUAUUCUGUACGCUUUCCGGAAGUCGCGAUUUUCGAAGCGAGAACUUUUUGGAUCACAUUUUAAAUUUGAUGGAUAUACUGAAUUAAACGGUCAGUUGAUCAUCUGUACAUUGCUUAAUGAUUAAUUCAGCCGACAUCGAUAUUCUCAGAUGGUUUAGAAUUAAAUUCAGCGCAUUCAUUAUUCUUAGCUUUGCCUUAAUCAAAUGAUUUUCAAGUGCAUCACUAAGGAAAAUCAGUCGGUGGACCUAAAAACAAUCUUUUUACCCUCUUAGUGUACAAAUUAACGUAAAUACCAGCCUUAAUUAACUAUAUGAAGUAUAUUUCAAGUGGUGGUAAAAGUUUCAACCAUAUCUUUGAAGCCAGAAAUAAGAAAAUAACACUUGUUUGAAUUUCUCACUGUACGAUCAGUCUCGCUUGUAUAUUUUGAAACUCUAUGAUCAGUCUUUAUUUCACUGUAUUCUAGUGGUGAUUUCAAAGUUAUUUACGACACAUUAUAAGGUGGCAUUUUUUCUAAAUAACACAAAUAUAUUUCAAUAAAUUCACAUCCUGAAAACUUAUGAAACAUGUUUCAGCUUGAUAGGGUGUACUCGACUUACUACAUUUAAUAUAAGGAUGUUUAAAUGUUGCUAAAAUAAAAGGUAGGUUCGUUGUAUAUAUGAGUUUCAGAAAUGUCCUCCGUUAUACUUUAAAUUGUACAAACACACAGAUUUAAUAAAUAUUGUUAUACAAAAACGUUUUAAUGGUUGCCUCAACCUCCAAACCGAUUUUUCUGUGGAAAAUCCUGUUAAAAAGGGUGAAAGUACAUAAGCAAAUUAUUAUCAUUUCCACAAGUUGCCACGCAAUUAACAAAUGCAAUCAGUACAAUGAUAUAUAUGGAUUAACCCAAAAAUCGCUUUAAAUAAACUGAUGAAAUCCUUUUCAUUUUAAAUUCAUUCGAUAUUGAUACAGAUUAUGAUUUCUGUAAACUUGCCCAAAUUAUAUCACACGAAUUAUCCCCCUACGCAAAGCUUUCUUUAUCCAUUUUUUUGUAAUUUUAAAAGAGACAAGCUUGAUUUAUGUUAUCAUCAAUUGGUCAACGGCGGACGGUGUAAAUAGUCUUUAAAAAUGUAAUAGCUAAACAGGUUACUGCAACGAUACACUAUUACAAAAGUUGAAUCGUGUAUUACUUUAUAGGCAUUUGAUUUUAAAUAAGACUGACGGAACAAAAAUACAAUUAUUUUGCCGUCUACAAAAAUCAUCAGAAAUAUAUUUGUUUUGUCUGAUGAAAGAAAUUACACGUUAUAUAUAGUUGUUACCUGGACGGUUCAUUAAAUCACAUAGACACGUAUAUACCUUUAAAUUGCCGUUGUUUUUUUUUUCUUCAAAAUCACGACUGGUCAUACAGUCAAAAAAUCUGAAAUCGCUUCUAGAAUACAGUCAGUUCUAGACUGAUCGUACAGUAACUUAUUUUGGGAUCCUCAAGGAAAAAUAUUUUUUAUGGGAAAUACGAAUAUUCUACUUAAAUACGAAAAGAAUAUUGAAACAGUAUAUAUUUAACUGAAAAAUAAUGCAAAUAUUUGCCAAAAAGAUUAUUUGCUUUGUACUACGAGAGCAAAAUUGUCCCUCGAUUUCACUUUUUUUUCUGUCAAAUUGGUGUGAUGCACACGUAUAUUUUAUAUUCUAAUGCAUGUUUUUGUUACCGUUACUCAUAUUUAUGAUGCUAUACAUACCUUGAAGAUGUUCAAAGCACUUUAUAGAUAUAGGAUUAAACAAAUGAUGAGAAAAGUCACCGUAGGCAAAACCAUCCUGUUAGCCAGUUGGAAAUCAUCACUUCGAAAAUCGCGACUUUCGGAUAGCGUACAGAAUAGUAUCUACACUGUGUUUCAGUGUUCAUCUAGUCAGAAUAAUAUCACUCUUAAAUGUUUAUUUUGAACGGAUUAUAUUUUAUUGACAAACUAAUAUUACCUCCGGAGGACAAGGUUCAUUAUUAAUUGGCUUACUUUGAAUGACAUUUUUGUACGAUAAAUAUCUUUUCAUUAUAGGACAAAAUUAAAAUGGCUUAUCCGUCGAAGUCUAUUUUAGGGAAUAAGGUGAACAAAAUAUUCCUAAAUAAGCAAGUCAGUUAAAAGUCAAAUAACCAAAAUACCGAAAUCCAAGGAUAAUUUAAAACGGAAAGACAAUAAACAAAUGUCAAAAGCAAAAGUGCAAACAAAUCAAACGAAUGGAUAACAAAUGUUAUGUUCCUGUCUUGGUACCGACAUUUUCUUAUCAAUUUUUUAAAUAUUAUAUAUAUUAUGAAUAUGAGUAUAAAGAUGAUUCUUGUCUCUUUUAUAUUAAUGCAGCAUGACAUUACUGAACACGUGAACAGAGCCAAAUCGAGGCUUGGGGACAGCGUAUAUGAUUCCUUACCACCAAAUGUCAAGUCUGCUGUCAUAAGUGCAGUAUACAGAGGCGAUCUUGGUCCAAAAACGGCGAAUCUGAUGAAAGCAGGAAAAUGGCGAGAUGUCGGCGUAGAAUAUUUGAACCAUCAGCAAUAUAAGAAAGCACAAGAACUUGGCAUAAUUGGAGUUAGAACAAGAAUGAACUGGAAUGUUGAACAAUUCAAUACCAUGAUUAAAGAAUAA